AGAAAAGUAAUGGAAUACAUUUGUCAGACAUCGGUUAUGAUAUUUUCAAUUUGAAUCUGCAAAGUAUGGUGGCGCAGGCCAUGGUUUGUAUGGGAUGGACCACAAAUGGUUGUUGUUUAGUUGGCUUUAGGGCGGAUGGCCUGGGACUAGUUUAAAGUUUGGUUUGGGACAAGAGUGUUUAUGUGGUUACAAUUUGUUUAUGUUCAUAAGUAAUAAGUUGAUUUGUAAUAUUUUAUAACGCUAAAUAAAAGACCACGCCGUGUUUUAUACAAAUUGAAUUUAUUAUUCAAAUGAUGUAUUUGUUUUAUGAGCAUUAACUGUUUUGCAGGUGGUGCUUGGCAGUGAUUUCUACCAUCUAUCUCAUCGUGGCAUUCAAAGGAAAUCCUUCAGCCCUCACUGGGGUAGAAACAUUCAACUGAAAAAAGAACCCAAGGUUAGCUGGUUUGAGCAGCAGACGCUGAAGAGAAGGGAGAAAAGACAGCCUGAUGUGGUUCCCACAGACCCCGUCUUCAGCUUGCAGUGGUACCUGCAUAAGGAUGAAAAUCUUGACUUAGGCAUCCAGACUGCUUGGAACCGUGGAUAUACCGGACGAGGUGUGGUGGUCACCAUUCUGGAUGAUGGGCUUGAAAAGGACCACCCCGAUCUCGCAUUAAACUAUGAUCCGGAGACGAGUUACGAUUUUGAUGACAAUGAUCCUGACCCUCAGCCCCGAUAUAACUCAUCUAAUGAGAACUACCACGGCUAUGGGCUCUUGCAUGCAUGGAAUUCUGGAUGAGCCGGCUGAAACAUGGGAGACAACGCAGCCUCAAAGAAAGUGCCUCAUAACAAUUGUGAGCACCCCCAAGAAAGUGUAUUCAGAUCUGAUUUUGACUUACAAUGUCACUGCCUGUUCUGGGAAAAAAGCAACUCAUGCUUAAGAGCUGCCUUUCCAAGUGUAGACUUUCUGAACACCUCAUCCAUUCUGGUCCCUCAAUCUAUGUCAAUGGCGGUGAUAAUGAGUGUGGCUAUUGUAGCGGUUAUGGGCAUGCUGGUUUUAGUUCAGUCAUUUCUACUAAAAAGAUUCAGUUGACCUGUUUUUGACAUGUAAAUAGAGUUUCAUUAAAUGUUUAGCAAAAUAA